rnacentral:lncRNA from 1 species
AUAAGACUAAAAAUACUUUAUUAAUCCAAUCAUGGACCCUUGCGGGUUUUAAAUUUCAUACAAUGAUUACAAUGAUUUGUGUUAUAACAAUGAAAUAAUAAAAUGAAAUACAUGACAAUAGAACACUGAACAGUUAUUGCAUGCACAUGGAAGAGAAAGUAAUAUGGGAGACAAUCAAUUUCUGUAAGGAUUAUUCCCCUUUAAACAGAUAUGGUGUUUUGAGCUGCAUAAGAAUGAAAUGCAGCCCCAAUUGAUUAGAUAUAAGGGUAUUUUUCUCCCAUGUACACACAGCAACCAAUUACUAGAUAUUUAUGUAUAUAAUUAUAUUUCUUUCACAAUUGCAAGAAUAUGAUAAGCACCUUAGAGAUUUGACUGCAGUUUAUUAAUGCAUAUAUAAGCAUUUACAUAUUAAUAGAUGAAAUAUGCAUACACAUAGAUAGAGAAAUGUGUAUUUAAAU